rnacentral:rRNA from 1 species
GAGCCGAUCAUGGCUCAGAUUGAACGCUGGCGGAUGCUUUACACAUGCAAGUCGAACGGCAGCACGGACUUCGGUCUGGUGGCGAGUGGCGAACGGGUGAGUAAUGUAUCGGAACGUGCCUAGUAGCGGGGAUAAUCUACGCGAAAGCGGUAGCUGAGACCGCAUUACUCUUUCGGGAAAGCGGGGACCUUCGGGCCUCGCACUAGUUGAGCGGCCGAUAUCGGAUUAGCUACAGGGUAACGGCCGCGGCGACGAUCCGGCUGGUUUGAGAGACGACCAGCCACACUGGGACUGAGACACGGCCCAGACUCACGGAGGUGAGUAAUGAUAAUGGGGGAAACCCCGAUCCGCGCCAUCCCGGCGUGUGCGAUGCAAGGCCUUUGCCAGCACGCUGGCAGGGAAAGAAACGGCACGGGAUACCCGCAACUGACGGUACUGUGCAGAAUAAGCACCGCAUAACUACGUGCCAGCAGCCGCGGUACGUAGGUGCAAGCGUUAAUCGGAAUUACUGGGCGUAAGCGUGCGCAGGUUCGAAAGAAAGAUGUGAAAUCCCAGAGCUUAACUUUGAAUACUUAACUACCGGAUAGAGUGUGUCAGAGUAUGUGAAUUCGUGGUAGGCAGUGAAAUGCGUAGAUAUGCGAGAACGAUGGCGAAGGCAGCCUCCUGGGAUAACACUGACGCUCAUGCAACAGAAAGGGGGAGCAACAGGAUUAGAUACUCCCGGUAGUCCACGCCCUGCUGUCAAUCCAGUUGUGUUGGGGCCUUCGGGCCUACAGCAGCUAACGCGUGAAAGUUGAUCAUCGGGGAGUACGGUCGCAAGAUUAAAACCAAAGGAAUUGACGGGGACCAGGCACAAGGGUGGAGAGCGGGAUUAAUUCGAGAACGCGAAAACCUUACCUACCCUUGGAUAUGUCUUAAUCCCGAAGAGCCUGUGAGUGCCUCUGGGCAAGAGAACCACAACACAGGUGUUGCAUGGUCACGUCAGCUUCCCGUGUCGUGAGAUGGUUAAGUCCCGCAACGAGCGCAAACUCCUUUGUCACAUACAUGAAAGGGCACUCUAAUGCAGACUGCCGGUGACAACCGGAGUGAAGUUGUGGGGAUGACGUCAAGUCCUCAUGGCCCUUAUGGGUAGGGCUUUCACACGUCAUACAAUGGUCGGGACAGAGGGUCGCCAACCCGCGAGGGGGAGCCAAAUCCCAGAAACCCGAUCGUAGUCCGAUCGCAGUUCGCAACUCGACUGGGUGUGAAGUCGGAAUUGCUAGUAAUCGCGGACAGCAAACGUGCAGGAUUACGUUCCGGUCUUGUACACACCGCCGCCCGUCACACCAUGGGAGUGGGUUUUACCAGAAGUAGUUAGCCUAACCGUAAGGGGAGGGCGAUUACCACGGUAGGAUUCAUGACUGGGGUGAAGUCGUAACACCAAGCAA